rnacentral:tRNA from 1 species
GCGCCGAUAGCUCAGUUGGUAGAGCAGGUGAUUCUUAAUCACCGGGUCGUGGGUUCGAGUCCCCCUCGGCGCACCA